CGUGGCGCGGCUUGUUUUGCACGCCGCCGGGAAAUAACCCCCGGCCUACCGACCGACCGUCGCGCUCGCCGACCCGGCGGCCCUUGCUUUCGCCUCGCGCACGAGACACGUUGCUUGACGCGAGGUGUGAGACGGCACGACGCUUGCGACGCCCACCCUCGCCGUCACGAGCACACAGACGACGCGAUGCCGGCCAGGCAAGGCCGAUGCAUCCCCAUGCCGUUACCGUCAUGAGCGAGCGCAACAGACGCAAAAAAGGCCUCUUCGCAAGCUGCGAGGCGCCAAGCCUCCUGUUUCAUUUCAGCUGUCAGCCGCUUAUGUUGACAAAACCUAGCCGGGACACCCCGUACACUAUUGCAUCUAUCGUCCUCUCGAGUGGCACGACAUGUCGGGGC
rnacentral:lncRNA from 1 species